rnacentral:lncRNA from 1 species
GGGGUCCUCCCCCAAGCUUAUCCUUUGCUUAUGGCUCACUUUUUAUUUUGUUUUUGACGAUGUAGAUUUAGCUUCUGGGACUGGUACCUUCUUUCGCCAUACCAUCUUGGCCUUCUUUGGUAAUGUGGGAGUGGUUUUUGGGAUGUUUACGUUGGGUUGCCAGGCCUUCUUCUUCAUCUCUGGUGGGGCAAAUGCGACUUCAACCUUUCUGUUCAUCUUUGGUGGAGCUUCAAAUUUUCUUGGAACUUUUUCCUAUCCUGGUGCCUUCUUUAUCCUUAUCUUUUCAACCUCUUUAUGAGUUCCCUUACCCUUUUUCUCCGAAUUUUUCUUGUUGGUCUUCACAAGUUGGUGCUGGAUGUACACCUCUUGUAGUCCUUGGGGAUUACGACUGUACUUAAUGUGGAUCAUUGAACAUUGCUCUUUUCUAGGUUUGAAGGAGAAUUUUUCUUCUUUUCAUGGAUGUUGAAGCUGAUUUCUCCUUAUGCAACAUCGAUCUGUGU